rnacentral:rRNA from 1 species
GGAAUUGUUCGCAAUGGGCGCAAGCCUGACGACGCAACGCCGCGUGGAGGAUGAAGAUCUUCGGGUCGUAAACUCCUUUCGAUCGGGACGAACGGCUGGUGGUCUACCACACCACCGGAUUGACGGUACCGAGAGAAGAAGCGCCGGCUAACUCCGUUCCACCAGCCGCGGUAAUACGGGGGGGGGCAAGCGUUGUUCGGAAUUACUGGGCGUAAAGGGCGCGUAGGCGGCCUGCUAAGUCACACGUGAAAUCCCUCGGCUCAACCGGGGAACUGCGUGUGAUACUGGCGGGCUUGAAUUCGGGAGAGGGAUGUGGAAUUCCAGGUGUAGCGGUGAAAUGCGUAGAUAUCUGGAGGAACACCGGUGGCGAAGGCGGCAUCCUGGACCGAGAUUGACGCUGAGGCGCGAAAGCUAGGGUAGCAGA